GACGAACGCUGGCGGCGUGCCUAACACAUGCAAGUCGAGCGCUAAAGCUUUGUACUUGUGCCAACUGGAUGAGCAGCGAACGGGUGAGUAACGCGUGGGGCAUCUGCUUUUGUUUGGGGGACAAUAAUGGAAAACGAAUUAUAAUACCACAUAAAAACUUUAAACACAGGUUUUAGGUUAAAAUGAGGCCUUUGCCUCAUUAAAAGACGAUUCCGCGUUGUAUUAGUUAGUUGGUGAGGUAAAGGCGCACCAAGGCGUGGAUACAGAGCCGACCUGAGAGGGAGGACAGCCACAUUGGGACUGAGACACGGCCCAAACUCCUACGGGGAGCAGCAGUAGGGGAACUUGGGCCAUGGGCGGAAGUCUGACCGCGCAACGCCGCGGGAGGGAAGAAGGUUUUCGGGUCGGAAAAGUCGGUUGGUAGGGAAGAACGUGGGUGAGGGUGGAAAGCUGAUCAAGUGACGGUAACUACCCAAAAAGGAACGGCUAACUACGUG
rnacentral:rRNA from 1 species